UUUAUGGAGAGUUUGAUCCUGGCUCAGGAUGAACGCUGGCGGCGUGCCUAAUACAUGCAAGUCGAGCGAACGGACGAGAAGCUUGCUUCUCUGAUGUUAGUGGCGGACGGGUGAGUAACACGUGGAUAACCUACCUAUAAGACUGGGAUAACUUCGGGAAACCGGAGCUAAUACCGGAUAAUAUUUUGAACCGCAUGGUUCAAAAGUGAAAGACGGUCUUGCUGUCACUUAUAGAUGGAUCCGCGCUGCAUUAGCUAGUUGGUAAGGUAACGGCUUACCAAGGCAACGAUGCAUAGUCGACCUGAGAGGGUGAUCGGCCACACUGGAACUGAGACACGGUCCAGACUCCUACGGGAGGCAGCAGUAGGGAAUCUUCCGCAAUGGGCGAAAGCCUGACGGAGCAACGCCGCGUGAGUGAUGAAGGUCUUCGGAUCGUAAAACUCUGUUAUUAGGGAAGAACAUAUGUGUAAGUAACUGUGCACAUCUUGACGGUACCUAAUCAGAAAGCCACGGCUAACUACGUGCCAGCAGCCGCGGUAAUACGUAGGUGGCAAGCGUUAUCCGGAAUUAUUGGGCGUAAAGCGCGCGUAGGCGGUUUUUUAAGUCUGAUGUGAAAGCCCACGGCUCAACCGUGGAGGGUCAUUGGAAACUGGAAAACUUGAGUGCAGAAGAGGAAAGUGGAAUUCCAUGUGUAGCGGUGAAAUGCGCAGAGAUAUGGAGGAACACCAGUGGCGAAGGCGACUUUCUGGUCUGUAACUGACGCUGAUGUGCGAAAGCGUGGGGAUCAAACAGGAUUAGAUACCCUGGUAGUCCACGCCGUAAACGAUGAGUGCUAAGUGUUAGGGGGUUUCUGCCCCUUAGUGCUGCAGCUAACGCAUUAAGCACUCCGCCUGGGGAGUACGACCGCAAGGUUGAAACUCAAAGGAAUUGACGGGGACCCGCACAAGCGGUGGAGCAUGUGGUUUAAUUCGAAGCAACGCGAAGAACCUUACCAAAUCUUGACAUCCUUUGACAACUCUAGAGAUAGAGCCUUCCCCUUCGAGGGGACAAAGUGACAGGUGGUGCAUGGUUGUCGUCAGCUCGUGUCGUGAGAUGUUGGGUUAAGUCCCGCAACGAGCGCAACCCUUAAGCUUAGUUGCCAUCAUUAAGUUGGGCACUCUAAGUUGACUGCCGGUGACAAACCGGAGGAAGGUGGGGAUGACGUCAAAUCAUCAUGCCCCUUAUGAUUUGGGCUACACACGUGCUACAAUGGACAAUACAAAGGGUAGCGAAACCGCGAGGUCAAGCAAAUCCCAUAAAGUUGUUCUCAGUUCGGAUUGUAGUCUGCAACUCGACUACAUGAAGCUGGAAUCGCUAGUAAUCGUAGAUCAGCAUGCUACGGUGAAUACGUUCCCGGGUCUUGUACACACCGCCCGUCACACCACGAGAGUUUGUAACACCCGAAGCCGGUGGAGUAACCUUUUAGGAGCUAGCCGUCGAAGGUGGGACAAAUGAUUGGGGUGAAGUCGUAACAAGGUAGCCGUAUCGGAAGGUGCGGCUGGAUCACCUCCUUU
rnacentral:rRNA from 1 species